CUGAAGGAUGGGUCGGGUGUAUCCUUCAAUAGGUAGCAUUUCCCAAGAUGCCUUGCGGGCCGGCCAGCAGAAAAACUUAAAAACAAUGGCGGACAGUGAAGCGGGAGCUGUCGGAGAGGAUUGCGCAUAUAAAUGAACAAAAGAGAAAACCAGGGAAUCUAUUAAGCUUAGGGCGGAGACGGACCACAUGAUCACCGGAGCAAAGUAUUCGGCGGCUGUGGCAUGGAGACUAUUCUGGAGAAAAUGGGCAUCCAGGGGAAGGUGACAGCGAUGACCAGCUUCUGGAUCUGAUCUGGGAGGACAUGAGGCUGCAGAGGGAGGCAGAGCAGCAGAGGGCACAGGAGAGAAGGGAGAACUUUGACAGCUUUUAACUUUGCUAGAAAAAAAUGGUUAAUAAAGAUUAAACAUGUACAUAUAAAAGAAAUAUCUAAAUAAAAUCAGUUCUGCA